rnacentral:rRNA from 1 species
UCUAGCACCUUCGGUGUUCGAGUUGUAAUUUGAAGAUGGUAACCUUGGGUUUGGCUCUUGUCUAUGUUCCUUGGAACAGGACGUCAUAGAGGGUGAGAAUCCCGUCUGAUGAGAUGCCCAUUCCUAUGUAAGGUGCUAUCGAAGAGUCGAGUUGUUUGGGAAUGCAGCUCUAAGUGGGUGGUAAAUUCCAUCUAAAGCUAAAUAUUGGCGAGAGACCGAUAGCGAACAAGUACAGUGAUGGAAAGAUGAAAAGAACUUUGAAAAGAGAGUGAAAAAGUACGUGAAAUUGUUGAAAGGGAAGGGCAUUAGAUCAGACUUGGUGUUUUACGAUUAUCUUCUCUUCUUGAGUUGUGCACUCGUAUUUCACUGGGCCAGCAUCGAUUCGGAUGGCAAGAUAAUGGCAGUUGAAUGUGGCUUCACUUCGGUGGAGUGUUAUAGCUUCUGCUGAUAUUGCCUGUCUGGAUCGAGGGCUGCGUCUUUUGACUAGGAUGCUGGCGUAA